GAAUGAAGUAGAUGUUCUACGGUGUGGCAGUGAUCACUGGCCCCAGAAUAUUCCUCAAACAAGAGUUUGGUCCAUGGAGCUGCAACACUGGCCUCACCUGCGAGCUGGAUAUGAAAGACCCACAGUGAAUAUUAUCCUCAAUGUGGAAGAACUGAGAGCUUCUCCCCUAAGGUCAGGAACAAGACAGAUAUGUCCACUCUCACCACUGUUGUUCAACAUGGCAGUACAAGUCCUUGCCUCAGCAAUCGACGAGGAAAAGAAAUUAAAGUCAUCCAAGCUGGCAAAGAAGUUAAACUUUCACUCUUUGGACACAACAUGAUACUCAAUGUAGAAAAUCUAAAGACUGCCAAAAAAUUGCUAGAACUGAUAACAGGCUUUCAGCAAAGUUGCAGGAUAUAAAAUCUAUGCACAGAAGUCAGUUGCAUUUCUAUACACUAGCAAUGAAACAGAAGAAAGAGAAAUCAAGGGAUUGAUCCCAUUUGCAAUUGUACCAAAAAACACAAAAUACAUAGGAAUAAACCUAACCAAAGAGGUAGAAGAUUCAGAAGGUAUUCUGAAAACUAUGUAACACUUAUGAAAGGAAUUGAGGAAGACACAAAGAAAU